GGCCAUAGCUCAGUGGUAAAGGAUCUGCUUUGCAUGCAGAAUGUCCCAGGUUCAAUCCCCAGCAUCUCCC
rnacentral:tRNA from 1 species